AUUGAACGCUGGCGGCAGGCCUAACACAUGCAAGUCGAACGAGUGGCGUACGGGUGAGUAAUGUCUGGGAAACUGCCCGAUGGAGGGGGAUAACUACUGGAAACGGUAGCUAAUACCGCAUACCAUCGGAUGUGCCCAGAUGGGAUGAGCUAGUAGGUGGGGUAACGGCUCACCUAGGCGACGAUCCCUAGCUGGUCUGAGAGGAUGACCGGCCACACUGGAAAUGAGACACGGUCCAGACUCCUACGGGGGGCAGCAGUGGGGAAUAUUGCACAAUGGGCGCGAGCCUGAUGCAGCCAUGCCGCGUGUAUGAAGAAGGCGUUCGGGUUGUAAAGUACUGUAAGCGAGGAGGCGUUACUCGCAGAAGAAGCACCGGCUAACUCCGUGCCAGCAGCCGCGGUAAUAC
rnacentral:rRNA from 1 species